rnacentral:rRNA from 1 species
UACGAAGGGGGCUAGCGUUGUUCGGAAUUACUGGGCGUAAAGAGCUCGUAGGCGGUCUGUCGCGUCUGCUGUGAAAACUCAGGGCUUAACCCUGAGCUUGCAGUGGGUACGGGCAGACUAGAGUGCGGUAGGGGAGACUGGAAUUCCUGGUGUAGCGGUGAAAUGCGCAGAUAUCAGGAGGAACACCGGUGGCGAAGGCGGGUCUCUGGGCCGAUACUGACGCUGAGGAGCGAAAGCGUGGGGAGCGAACAGG